AUCAUCUUGUUGCAAUAAAAGCCCUUGGAUGAUGUAAUGCACUAUUUAUAGUCAUCUACUGGUGAUAUCAUCCCAUAAAUGACUAUAAAAUAUUGUAGAAAUGCGCUUCGCAUGUAACAGUGGCAUGUUCCAAGAUUGCUAUACUUAUGUACACCAUCUUGGAAUAUGGCACUGUUACAAUGGCUAAAUUUUCGAAACUAACGCCUAAGAAAGGGGUAUUAGAUGUUUCAAAUGCUCGAAGUUCAACAGAGAUUAUUGAAGAUUUGUAAAGGUUCGAAGUUUUACCUAUCUAUGUGGCAGAGGGUGUUAGAGCCUGCGGUGUGGGAGUGCGUCAAGGUUGUAGUGACGUCAUGUUGAACUAUUGUUUCCGGUGGAACUGUCUCUUUCGUAAAGUUGGAACUGAAUUAAUAUUAAUUAGUUUAUUUCACUACUAUGUUUAAAAUAAUCAUUAAAUUACUUCAAAAAGUUUUAAGAAAAGUUGGCUGUAUUUUUGGUGUUUUCUUUGUUAGCGGUGGAAUUAUGCAAAUGAGACUGUGGUUAAAGGAUGGGUGGAGAGGCGGUGGUGAUGUCUCGCCUGUUGUGUCAUCGUCUUGUGUUUUUUAUGCUUAUCAACUGUUAUCUGUUACUGGGGGUUUGUGAAUUACAGUCGACCGUUGCUGUUUCAGUGGACAGUAUGUCGCAGUGAAGAUAUGGAUUGGUGUUAUAUAAAAGGAAAAUUUUUUAUUGGAAAAGUUUUGUUUUGUAUAGGCGAGAUUCAGCCAUUGUCGUAAGUUUAAUUUUUUCCGUUUUGCUAAUAAAGUUGUUUAUUUACUUAUGAAGCAGUUAAUUGAGUUAACAAAAUACUGGUUGGGCACUCAUGAACUAAAUAUUCAAAUUAAGAUUAGCUUUGAUAGAAAGUCCAAUAGGACUGAACAACGGGGUUGGACUGGAGGUGAAAACGGGGGAAAUGUCCCAGUUUUUACAGAGUGAAAUUAGAUAUUAUGAAAUAAUGAAGGUUAACUUUCUGAGGAAAAAAUUUAAUUUUUUAAAAUAUUAAAAGAUCCUGCUUUUCUCAAGCCAAAGUCUUUUUAGAGAUUUGU
rnacentral:lncRNA from 1 species